AUUUCUCGUAUUCAUCACCACGAUAGAGGAUACAAUCAUUAGGGUAUGCGUGUAUCUUCUGAAACUCUAAUCCCAGAGGGCAAACAACCUAUUUAGCUUCAUAUAUUGUGGACAACAAUUCAUUAUUCUCGGGAAACUUGUUCUCUACAAUUUUCAAUACCCCUAAAAUGCCUUAUCGGACGCACCAUUUUUUACCUUCCAUUGUAGUAUUUUCAAUGUGGUACCCAUCUUUUUAUGCUCCUGCUUGCAAUUUGGAUACAAUAAUUUUUUGUGAUCAUCUAUCAUACGCUGCAACUUUUCUGAUUCCUUCUCAGUUUCACAGUCAUUCUGUGCAUCCCGUAGCACCUGACCAAGAUCAUCGAUAGGGCCAUCUUCUACAAACUUUUCUUCAUCAUCCUCGCCCAUUGUAGUAUCUACAAAAGCUUGGCCUGCAGCCCAAUCCAGAAUGUUGUUAUCAUCGUCCUCUUCUUCACCGUCUUCUAUUAUAACCCCUCUUUCACCAUACUUGGUCCAAAC
rnacentral:lncRNA from 1 species